UACGGGGGGGGCAAGCGUUGUUCGGAAUUACUGGGCGUAAAGGGCUCGUAGGUGGCCAACUAAGUCAGACGUGAAAUCCCUCGGCUUAACCGGGGAACUGCGUCUGAUACUGGAUGGCUUGAGUUCGGGAGAGGGAUGCGGAAUUCCAGGUGUAGCGGUGAAAUGCGUAGAUAUCUGGAGGAACACCGGUGGCGAAGGCGGCAUCCUGGACGGAUACUGACACUGAGGAGCGAAAGCCAGGGGAGCAAACGGG
rnacentral:rRNA from 1 species